GCCAGCCGUUGGUAAUGCUAUCCGAGCACGCGAUUUUCUUCCUAUCCACAAUAUUAUCCCACUCCCCUCUUCGUCCGAAAACCCUCCAGUCCAGUAUCCGUCGUUCCCCCUAGCCAUCGUCCCGCGCCCCGUCCAUGGCCACCGCCACGCUCCCUCUCCGCCUCCUCCCCUCGAGAACCCCACUCCUCCACACCGCCGCCUUCCUCCCCGCAAGCGCCUCUCUCUCCGUCACCGCGUCCGUGCCCCGCCACUGGCGCAUCUUCGCGGCCGCCGAGGAGGCGCCCGCUCCGGUGGAAGCCGAGGCGGAGGAGGUGGUAGAGGAUGCCGCGGUUCCGGAGCCUGUUGAGGUGCAGCUGGCUGCUGCUGGCGCGGGGAAGGACGCCGACAUCUUCGCCGUUGUCAUGAUUGGGUCCAGACAAUACAUUGUGAUGCCAGGUCGGUACAUAUACACACAGAGGCUGAAAGACGCCAAUGUCAAUGAUCAGAUCAUUUUGAACAAGGUACUACUGGUGUCAACUAGAGACAAAGCUUAUAUUGGCAUGCCAGUGGUGACCAAUGCUGCUGUUCAUGCAAUUGUUGAAGAACAGGGACUGGACGAUAAAGUGAUUGUUUUCAAGUUCAAGAAGAAGAAGAAGUACCAGAGGAAAGCUGGUCACAGACAGCCAAAUACGAGGUUAAGAAUUACCGGCAUAAGUGGAUAUGAGGAAUUCCCUGCUGAUCCAAUACUUCAAGUUCCAGCUUAAGUGUAAUUGUAAGUUGUUUAGUUACAAAUGCUUGGUAGUACAUUAGAGUGCUAGAGCAUUUUCCCCACUCUUCCCCAAGUGAGGCUCUUCCCCAAGUUAAUGUACUCGAAAUGCUGCCAUUCGUUGAGUGGCUGGUUCCAUCCUUUUGUUCAUUCCACCAGCUCUUAUGUUCCUUUCAAAUCCAAUUGUAUUAUCUUGACUGUGCAGAAAGACAGGGGAAAGCAUUUAAUUACAA
rnacentral:rRNA from 1 species